UACGAAGGGGGCUAGCGUUGUUCGGAAUUACUGGGCGUAAAGCGCACGUAGGCGGACUGGAAAGUCAGAGGUGAAAGCCCAGGGCUCAACCCUGGAACUGCCUUUGAAACUCCCAGUCUUGAGGUCGAGAGAGGUGAGUGGAAUUCCGAGCGUAGAGGUGAAAUUCGUAGAUAUUCGGAGGUACACCAGAGGCGAAGGCGGCUCACUGGCACGAUACUGACGCUGAGGUGCGAAAGCGUGGGGAGCAAACAGG
rnacentral:rRNA from 1 species